rnacentral:rRNA from 1 species
UGGGGAAUAUUGCACAAUGGGCGCAAGCCUGAUGCAGCCAUGCUGCAUGUAUGAAGAAGGCCUUCGGGUUGUAAAGUACUUUCAGCGGGGAGGAAGGCGAUAAGGUUAAUAACCUUGUCGAUUGACGUUACCCGCAGAAGAAGCACCGGCUAACUCCGUGCCAGCAGCCGCGGUAAUACGGAGGGUGCAAGCGUUAAUCGGAAUUACUGGGCGUAAAGCGCACGCAGGCGGUCUGUCAAGUCGGAUGUGAAAUCCCCGGGCUCAACCUGGGAACUGCAUUCGAAACUGGCAGGCUAGAGUCUUGUAGAGGGGGGUAGAAUUCCAGGUGUAGCGGUGAAAUGCGUAGAGAUCUGGAGGAAUACCGGUGGCGAAGGCGGCCCCCUGGACAAAGACUGACGCUCAGGUGCGAAAGCGUGGGGAGCAAACA